rnacentral:rRNA from 1 species
AUUGAACGCUGGCGGCAGGCCUAACACAUGCAAGUCGAGCGGGGUUUUCGGACCUAGCGGCGGACGGGUGAGUAAUGCGUAGGAAGCUGCCCGAUAGAGGGGGAUACCAGUUGGAAACGACUGUUAAUACCGCAUAAUGUCUACGGACCAAAGUGUGGGACCUUCGGGCCACAUGCUAUCGGAUGCGCCUACGUGGGAUUAGCUAGUUGGUGAGGUAAUGGCUCACCAAGGCGACGAUCUCUAGCUGGUUUGAGAGGAUGAUCAGCCACACUGGAACCGAGACACGGUCCAGACUCCUACGGGAGGCAGCAGUGGGGAAUAUUGGACAAUGGGCGCAAGCCUGAUCCAGCCAUGCCGCGUGUGUGAAGAAGGCCUUCGGGUUGUAAAGCACUUUCAGCGAGGAGGAAGGGGUGUGUGUUAAUAGUACACACCUUUGACGUUACUCGCAGAAGAAGCACCGGCUAUCUCUGUGCCAGCAGCCGCCGUAACAC